rnacentral:rRNA from 1 species
GACGAACGCUGGCGGCGUGCCUAAUACAUGCAAGUAGAACGCACAGUUUAUACCGUAGCUUGCUACACCAUAGACUGUGAGUUGCGAACGGGUGAGUAACGCGUAGGUAACCUGCCUGGUAGCGGGGGAUAACUAUUGGAAACGAUAGCUAAUACCGCAUAAUAUUAAUUAUUGCAUGAUAAUUAAUUGAAAGGUGCAAUUGCACCACUACCAGAUGGACCUGCGUUGUAUUAGCUAGUAGGUGAGGUAACGGCUCACCUAGGCGACGAUACAUAGCCGACCUGAGAGGGUGAUCGGCCACACUGGGACUGAGACACGGCCCAGACUCCUACGGGAGGCAGCAGUAGGGAAUCUUCGGCAAUGGACGAAAGUCUGACCGAGCAACGCCGCGGGAGUGAAGAAGGGUUUCGGAUCGUAAAGCUCGGUUGUAAGAGAAGAACGGGUGUGAGAGUGGAAAGUUCACACUGUGACGGUAUCUGACCAGAAAGGGACGGCUAACUACGUG